UGGCGGACGGGUGAGUAAUGUCUGGGAAACUGCCCGAUGGGGGGGGAUAACUACUGGAAACGGUAGCUAAUACCGCAUAACGUCGCAAGACCAAAGAGGGGGACCUUAGGGCCUCUUGCCAUCGGAUGUGCCCAGAUGGGAUUAGCUAGUAGGUGGGGUAAUGGCUCACCUAGGCGACGAUCCCUAGCUGGUCUGAGAGGAUGACCAGCCACACUGGAACUGAGACACGGUCCAG
rnacentral:rRNA from 1 species